GAAGUUGGAAAUGACAAGAAUCAUAUGCUGGAACAUGGGGAAUGUGAGCACUCACUGACCUUUUCCUUACGGCGGAAGCUUCAGGUGGUGAUCCUUAUCCCCCACCCUCAUCGUUGACCACCCGCUUACUAAGAACCCUGAGGAAUCGAUGCUGCCUCAUCCAGUGCAUGUAGCCAUCCGAAACAAGACGAGGUGGUGGGAAUGGUGAAGACGGGACUCUCUCUCUCUCUCUCUCUCUGAGAGAGCGGCGAUCGAUCUCCAUUCGCAGCAGCAUGGAGAAGGAUUGGGACGUGGAAUUGGUGGCUCUCCACGUGGAGUCUGAGAGAGAAACCAUGCAGGUUAACGUGUUCGUCGUCAGAUUCACUCCUUGUCUUGGUCUGCUUUGGCAUCACCCGAUGAAGAUGCUGUGGCUCUGUUCCACAAGUCACUCACUCUAAACGAUAACGAUGGAGCCAAAUCCCGUUCCAUUUACUUGUACGUGUACGUUUGAUUCUGUGCAGCUUUGCCAAUAGUGCUUAGUGGCCAAAGAAGAAAAAGGACAAUGACAUUUUCUACAUCAUAGGGAGUUAAUUAUGCCUCUUUUCCUUGUAUUCUAAUAAUACUAAGUUCACACACCCAAGAAAGAUGGAG
rnacentral:lncRNA from 1 species